GAAUUUUACCACAGAAAUAGAAGCUGGGUAAGGCCUUUCGUGUGAAAAGGUUCGGUCCUGGUGUAUGCAGUUUGUGGUUUGCCCGUGGCCUUCGGAAGGGAGGAGGGGAGCAGCACAGCAACGUUGCUGUCAGCCAGCAGCUCUGGAGGACUUGUUCAUCACGUUCCUCGGACCAAAGAAGCCUGCAUAUACAGACAGCAUGACUGGAAUUUGCUAGUCCUUUUAUCUACGUCAUACAUAAGAAAGUAAAACAACUGCUGGGGCAUCUGCAUGAUAUUUGGAUGUGGUAGAACUGGCCUUUUAUCCCACUCAUUCCACCACGGUCUGCCUGGACUUACUUUCCUUUUCCCAAGGCAGCAUCCUUCACCCAAGAUUAAUGCACCUCCGUUUAUCACUCUAUUCUUCAUCUUUCAAAGGCCGGUCCUUCUCUGAAGAGGUAGCAGAAGAAAAUGUCUCUGCAGAUCUAAAAUGCUGAACAGCCUGACAAGAAUUACAGGCCUGUAAUUCAACAUGUGAGUAUCUUAAAAAGUAGUUUACGAAUAUCCAUAUCUCAGAUGAAUUCUCCCCCAAAGGUCUCUUGGUUUUACAGUGGACUAAUUCAAAAUGGUUUCUGCUAGAGGUAAAGAAAGAACUGAAAAAGCACACAAUCAUUUCUUUCCUUUAACAGAAUACUGAUACCCCUAACUCAGUGAUGGAUGUGGUUGCUACUCAAAAAGAAUUGUGCGAAUCAUUGGGGUGGGGCAACCAAAGUUUGAAAAUGUUUUAAAAUGUCUCCCUCAUACCCAACUUUGUUCAUGAACUGCUAAUGGGAAGGUGUUUGAGACAGCUGUGCCACCAAACUUACUUGGUAUCUAAAAUACACACAUCUUUAUCACCUGAAUUUCUCCACAGAUUUCUGCUGCAAAUUCAAUAUUUACUACUCUUCCUGUACUAGCAUAUGAACGUCAUCUUUCUAGAUAACGUGUCUGACAAAAAAAUGACAGUACAAAUUACCCUGUAUAGGAAACCACAAAUCAACACACUCUUCACAAAAUCAGCCACCAUGCAAAACACAGUAGAAAAAAGUCUUUUAAAAAUGAUCUGCAAGGCACAGGCUAUGCUUUUGAAUUAGACAACGGAAUAGCAUCUAUGAACCUAACAACGCAAAAAGGAAACCCUAACUGACACCACGUUCCUGCCUAUUACAUAUGUUUUGAAGCUGGUAUGUGUAUAGAAAAUUGUUAAAUAAUUACAGCACCUACUAACAUACAUCCUUGAAUAAUUCUUCCUGGAGCCCUUUUCCACCUCCCUUUUCAAACAAUGCUUCCAGUGUUAAACUCCUAAUCCAAAGCAAAUUUCCCCUCUACUAACAAGCACCCAUCAGAACCAAAUCUUGCCAGCACAGCAAAUGCAAAACUCAUGAAUACCAACAUAUUUAACAUAAUUGAUGCCAGUGCCCAAAAGAAUUUCCAUCGGACUUGUUUAGCCACUUUUAAAACGUGCUAUAUUACAUCAAGCACAUCAAAUACCCUCAUGAGAAUUAUGUGUAUGAAACUAAUCGACCAUUAUUUGUUACAGUGAACUCACAGAGAUAACUGAUUACAGACAAAACACAGCAAAUGAUAGGAGAAUAUUUUUAAAAUAAAAAAUAAAUUCCAUCCCUUGCACAGUCCAGAUCCUCACAGGGGACCUGCAAAUCAUUUUCAAAAAAUGAUCCUGGGAACUGAAUUCUUAACAACGGAUAAACAAAAUGUGGACUCAGUAGUGACAUUGUCUCUAAAGCUUACCGUUUUCUUGCUGAUUCAUCCCUGUACAUUCAUGUUAGCAACUGUUCUCUCUCCCAUGGUUUAAUUGAUUAAAAUGUUUUAUUAUACUACGAA